ACGCACGCUGGCGGCGUGCUUAACCCCUGCCAGUCGAACGGUAAGGCCCCUUCGGGGGUACACGAGUGGCGAACGGGUGAGUAACACGUGGGUGAUCUGCCCUGCACUUCGGGAUAAGCCUGGGAAACUGGGUCUAAUACCGGAUAGGACCACGCUCUGCAUGGAGUGUGGUGGAAAGCUUUUGCGGUGUGGGAUGGGCCCGCGGCCUAUCAGCUUGUUGGUGGGGUGAUGGCCUACCAAGGCGACGACGGGUAGCCGGCCUGAGAGGGUGUCCGGCCACACUGGGACUGAGAUACGGCCCAGACUCCUACGGGAGGCAGCAGUGGGGAAUAUUGCACAAUGGGCGCAAGCCUGAUGCAGCGACGCCGCGUGGGGGAUGACGGCCUUCGGGUUGUAAACCUCUUUCAGUACCGACGAAGCGCAAGUGACGGUAGGUACAGAAGAAGCACCGGCCAACUACGUG
rnacentral:rRNA from 1 species